rnacentral:rRNA from 1 species
AACGAACGCUGGCGGCAUGCCUAACACAUGCAAGUCGAACGAGACCUUCGGGUCUAGUGGCGCACGGGUGCGUAACGCGUGGGAACCUGCCCUUAGGUUCGGAAUAACUCCCCGAAAGGGGUGCUAAUACCGGAUAAUGUCUUCGGACCAAAGAUUUCUCGCCUUUGUGUGGGCGCGCGUUGGAUUAGCUAGUUGGUAGGGUAAAAGCCUACCAAGGCGACGAUCCAUAGCUGGUCUGAGAGGAUGAUCAGCGACACUGGGACUGAGACACGGCCCAGACUCCUACGGGAGGCAGCAGUGGGGAAUAGUGGAACAUGGGCGAAAGCCUGAUCCAGCAAUGCCGCGUGAGCGAUGAAGGCAUUAGGGUUGUAAAGCUCUUUUACCCGGGAUGAUAAUGACAGUACCGGGAGAAUAAGCUCCGGCUAACUCCGUG